AGGGGGGAUAACAUCCGGAAACGGGUGCUAAUACCGCAUAGUUUUCUUGAUCGCAUGAUUGAGAAAGGAAAGACGGCCUUUGUGCUGUCGCUUAUGGAUGGACCCGCGGCGUAUUAGUUAGUUGGUGAGGUAACGGCUCACCAAGACGAUGAUACGUAGCCGACCUGAGAGGGUGAUCGGCCACAUUGGGACUGAGACACGGCCCAAACUCCUACGGGAGGCAGCAGUAGGGAAUCUUCCGCAAUGGACGAAAGUCUGACGGAGCAACGCCGCGUGAGUGAAAGAAGGUUUUCGGAUCGUAAAUCUCUGUUGUCAGAGAAGAACAAGUUGGAGAGUAACUGCUCCAGCCUUGACGGUAUCCGACCAGAAAGCCACGGCUAACUACGUGCCAGCCGCCGC
rnacentral:rRNA from 1 species